rnacentral:rRNA from 1 species
UGGAAUGAUGGUGACCUAAACCCUCACCAGAGUAACAAUUGGAGGGCAAGUCUGGUGCCAGCAGCCGCGGUAAUUCCAGCUCCAAUAGCGUAUAUUAAACUUGUUGCAGUUAAAAAGCUCGUAGUUGAAUUUUUGCGUGGUGUUAAUAUUGACUGAUGUCGAGAUUGCACUUCGCUUUUGGGAUUUUUCCCUUUUUACUUUGAGAAAAUUAGAGUGUUUCAAGCAGACUUUUGUCUUGAAUACUUCAGCAUGGAAUAAUAGAGUAGGACUUUGGUUCUAUUUUGUUGGUUUGUGAACCUUAGUAAUGGUUAAUAGGAACGGUUGGGGGCAUUCGUAUUUAACUGUCAGAGGUGAAAUUCUUAGAUUUGUUAAAGACGAACUACUGCGAAAGCAUUUGCCAAGGACGUUUUCAUUAAUCAAGAACGAAAGUUAGGGGAUCGAAGACGAUCAGAUACCGUCGUAGUCCUA